rnacentral:tRNA from 1 species
GCCGGGGUAAUGCCGGGGUUCAAUUGUGCCUGAAAGCAGAGUGGUCUAAUGCGCGGGCCUUGAGAGCCUGUGACCCAUCCGGGUCUCGUGGGUUCGAAUCCUACCCCCGGCG